CUCCUCUAAGGAAUGAAGUAGGCGCGUAUUUUACCCACUCCUGACACAGGGAGGAAGUGACUAAAAAUAACCACGCCGGGCCUUUGGCCUUGCAAUUGGAAUGAGUACAAUUUAAAUCCCUUAACGAGGAUCAAAUGAAGGGCAAGUCUGGUGCCAGCAGCCGCGGUAAUUCCAGCUCCCCUCGCGUAUAUUAAUGUUGUUGCAGUUAACAAGCUCGUACUUGGAUUUCUGACAUGAGCGACCGGUCCGAGCAUUCGUGUUCGUGUUACUUGAGUUGUCUCUCGCCAUCCUUAUAGAGAACAAAUGUCGGCAUUCAGUUGUUGCGCUUGGGACCUAUAUCCCCUACUGUGAAAAAAUAAUAGUGUUCUCAGCACGCCAUCGCUGUGAAUAUCUUAUCAUGGAAUAAUAAGAUAGGACUAUGGUACUAUUUUGUUGGUCUGCAUCCCAAAGAAAUGAUCAAUAGGGACAGCUGGGGGUAUUCGUACUUACAUAUCAGAGGUGAAAUUCUUGGAUUUUGUACAGGCGAACUACUGCGAAAGCAUUUACCACUGGAUGUUUUUCUUUCAUCUAUAACGACAGUUAGGGGAUCGAACAUGAUUAGAUACCAUCGCUACCUUAACCUUAAACUAUGCCGACUAGGGAUUAGCUGGACGUUAAUUUUAUAUGACUUCGUUAGCACCUUAUGAGAAAUCAAAGUCUUUUGGGUUCCGGGGGGAGUAUGGUCGCAAGGCUGGAGCUGAAAGGAAUUGACGGACGGGCACGCUAGGAGUGGAGCCUGCGGCUUAUAAUUGAGUCAGCACGGGAAAGCUUACCAGGUCCGGACAUAGUGAUGAGUGGCUGUUUGAAGGUCUUUCUUGAUUGUAGGGGUGGUGGUGCAUGGCCGUCUUUAGUUGGUUGAGUGAUUAAUUGGGUUAAUUCCGUUAACGAAGGAGGCCUCGACUUAGUAAAUAGUUCGACGAAUUCUUCUGGAUUCGUGCGGGACUUCUUAGAGGGACUAUCUGUGGUUAGCCGAUGGAAGUUAAAGGCAAUAGCAGGUCUGUGAUGGCCUUAGAUGUUCUGGGCAGCACGCGCGGUACACUGAUGGGUUCAUCGAGAGUACAGCCGGGACUGGUAGGUCUGGAUAGUAAUUUGAAUGCCAGUCGUGUAGGUGAAAGAAUAUUGUUAUUUUUAUAUCGGAGACGAGAAAUUCGUGGUAAGCGCGAGUCAGCAACUCGCAUUAAUUGUGUCCCUUCAAGGUGUACACACCGUCCGUAUUUAAAAAAGAUUGGAUGGAAGAGUGAGCUCUCUGGAUUGUGGCACCCCCGUCGGUAAGUUCGGAGGGGGUACGGGAAGGAGAUCAAACUUACCUGGAG
rnacentral:rRNA from 1 species